GUUUCUGUGAGGUGAGUCAAAAUUUUAGUAUUAUUACUAAUAGGACCACUCUUUCAUGACUCCCCCAUUCCCUAAAUAGUGAUUAUGCUCAAAAUCUCCUUGACAGAAUAGAGGAACAAAAACAAGAUUUUAAGAAUAUUUACAUGUGCAGGUUACCUUCCACUUCCAAUUAAUUGACUUUAGGGAAUGUAAUUGCAUAGAAAUUGUUAUAGUGCCAGUUAUGGGCAUUGAUCAUGCAUGUAAACAAAUGCA